rnacentral:tRNA from 1 species
GCCGCCGUGGUGGAAUGGCAGACACAAGGGACUUAAAAUCCCUCGCCUAUAAAGCGUACGAGUUCGAGUCUCGUUGGCGGCACCA